rnacentral:rRNA from 1 species
CCUACGGGAGGCAGCAGUGAGGAAUAUUUGUCAAUGGACGCAAGUCUGAACCAGCCAAGCCGCGUGCAGGAAGACUGCUCUAUGAGUUGUAAACUUCUUUUGUACGAGGGUAAACGCAGAUACGCGUAUCUGUCUGAAAGUAUCGUACGAAUAAGGAUCGGCUAACUCCUUGCCAACAGCCGCGGUAAUACGGAGGAUUCAAGCGUUUUCCGGAUUUAUUGGGUUUAAAGGGUGCGUAGGCGGUCGUAUAAGUUAGAGGUGAAAUCCCGAGGCUCAACUUCGGAAUUGCCGUUGAUACUGGUCGGCUAGAGAGUAGUUGCGGUAGGCGGAAUGUAUGGUGUAGCGGUGAAAUGCUUAGAGAUCAUACAGAACACCGAUUGCGAAGGCAGCUUACCAAGCUACUUCUGACGUUGAGGCACGAAAGCGUGGGGAGCGAACAGGAUUAGAUACCCCAGUAGUC